GUUGGGUAGGGGAGCGUUCUGUAAGCCUGCGAAGGUGUGCUGUGAGGCAUGCUGGAGGUAUCAGAAGUGCGAAUGCUGACAUAAGUAACGAUAAAGCGGGUGAAAAGCCCGCUCGCCGGAAGACCAAGGGUUCCUGUCCAACGUUAAUCGGGGCAGGGUGAGUCGACCCCUAAGGCGAGGCCGAAAGGCGUAGUCGAUGGGAAACAGGUUAAUAUUCCUGUACUUGGUGUUACUGCGAAGGGGGGACGGAGAAGGCUAUGUUGGCCGGGCGACGGUUGUCCCGGUUUAAGCGUGUAGGCUGGUUUUCCAGGCAAAUCCGGAAAAUCAAGGCUGAGGCGUGAUGACGAGGCACUACGGUGCUGAAGCAACAAAUGCCCUGCUUCCAGGAAAAGCCUCUAAGCAUCAGGUAACAUCAAAUCGUACCCCAAACCGACACAGGUGGUCAGGUAGAGAAUACCAAGGCGCUUGAGAGAACUCGGGUGAAGGAACUAGGCAAAAUGGUGCCGUAACUUCGGGAGAAGGCACGCUGAUAUGUAGGUGAAGUCCCUCGCGGAUGGAGCUGAAAUCAGUCGAAGAUACCAGCUGGCUGCAACUGUUUAUUAAAAACACAGCACUGUGCAAACACGAAAGUGGACGUAUACGGUGUGACGCCUGCCCGGUGC
rnacentral:rRNA from 1 species